rnacentral:rRNA from 1 species
UCAAGUAAUUAAGUGCAUGUGGUGGAUGCCUUGGCAGUCAGAGGCGAUGAAAGACGUGAUAGCCUGCGAAAAGCUCCGGGGAGGCGGCAAAUAUCCUUUGAUCCGGAGAUGUCUGAAUGGGGGAACCCACCUACUUUAAGGUAGGUAUUGCAACAUGAAUACAUAGUGUUGCAAGGCGAACGAGGGGAAGUGAAACAUCUCAGUACCCUUAGGAAAAGAAAUCAAUUGAGAUUCCCUCAGUAGCGGCGAGCGAACGGGGAUCAGCCCAUUAAGUUAUGUGUGUUUUAGUGGAACGCUCUGGGAAGUGCGAACGUAGAGGGUGAUAUUCCCGUACACGAAAGGGCACACAUAAUGAUGACGAGUAGGGCGAGGCACGUGAAACCUUGUCUGAAUAUGGGGGGACCAUCCUCCAAGGCUAAAUACUCCUGACUGACCGAUAGUGAACCAGUACCGUGAGGGAAAGGCGAAAAGAACCCCUGUGAGGGGAGUGAAAUAGAUCCUGAAACCGCAUGCAUACAAGCAGUGGGAGCACCUUCGUGGUGUGACUGCGUACCUUUUGUAUAAUGGGUCAGCGACUUAUAUUCAGUAGCRAGGUUAACCGUAUAGGGGAGCCGUAGAGAAAUCGAGUCUUAAUAGGGCGUUUAGUUGCUGGGUAUAGACCCGAAACCAGGCGAUCUAUCCAUGAGCAGGUUGAAGGUUGGGUAACACUAACUGGAGGACCGAACCCACUGUCGUUGAAAAGCCAGGGGAUGACUUGUGGAUAGGGGUGAAAGGCUAAUCAAGCCUGGUGAUAGCUGGUUCUCCCCGAAAGCUAUUUAGGUAGCGCCUCGGACGAAUACCAUAGGGGGUAGAGCACUGUUUCGGCUAGGGGGUCAUCCCGACUUACCAAACCGAUGCAAACUCCGAAUACCUAUGAGUACUAUCCGGGAGACAGACUGCGGGUGCUAACGUCCGUAGUCAAGAGGAAAACAAUCCAGACCGCCAGCUAAGGCCCCAAAAUCAUAGUUAAGUGGGAAACGAUGUGGGAAGGCAUAGACAGCUAGGAGGUUGGCUUAGAAGCAGCCACCCUUUAAAGAAAGCGUAAUAGCUCACUAGUCGAGUCGGCCUGCGCGGAAGAUGUAACGGGGCUAAAACUAUGUGCCGAAGCUGCGGAUGUAUACUUUGUAUACGUGGUAGGGGAGCGUUCUGUAAGCCGAUGAAGGUGURUUGAGAAGYAUGCUGGAGGUAUCAGAAGUGCGAAUGCUGACGUGAGUAACGACAAAACGGGUGAAAAACCCGUUCGCCGAAAGACCAAGGGUUCCAGUCCAACGUUAAUCGGGGCUGGGUGAGUCGACCCCUAAGGCGAGGCCGAAAGGCGUAGUCGAUGGGAAAAUGGUUAAUAUUCCAUUACUUCUGUGUAAUGCGAUGAGAGGACGGAGAAGGCUAAAUCAGCCUGGCGUUGGUUGUCCAGGUGAAAGGAUGUAGGCAUGUAUCUUAGGCAAAUCCGGGGUACUCUAUGCUGAGAUCUGAUAGCAAGCUGUACUUGUACAGCGAAGUGGUUGAUGCCAUGCUUCCAGGAAAAGUCUCUAAGCUUCAGUUACACAGGAAUCGUACCCGAAACCGACACAGGUGGUCAGGUCGAGUAGACCAAGGCGCUUGAGAGAACUCUGCUGAAGGAACUAGGCAAAAUGGUACCGUAACUUCGGGAGAAGGUACGCUGUUGUUGGUGAUGGAACUCGCUUCCUGAGCUGACGACAGCCGCAGAAACCAGGCCGCUGCAACUGUUUAUUAAAAACAUAGCACUCUGCAAACACGAAAGUGGACGUAUAGGGUGUGAUGCCUGCCCGGUGCUGGAAGGUUAAUUGAUGGGGUUAGCGUAAGCGAAGCUCUUGAUCGAAGCCCCAGUAAACGGCGGCCGUAACUAUAACGGUCCUAAGGUAGCGAAAUUCCUUGUCGGGUAAGUUCCGACCUGCACGAAUGGCAUAAUGAUGGCGGCGCUGUCUCCAGCAGAGGCUCAGUGAAAUCGAAAUCGCUGUGAAGAUGCAGUGUACCCGCGGCUAGACGGAAAGACCCCGUGAACCUUUACUGCAGCUUGACACUGAACUUUGACCUUACUUGUGUAGGAUAGGUGGGAGGCUUUGAAGCUGGAACGCUAGUUCCAGUGGAGCCGUCCUUGAAAUACCACCCUGGUAAUGUUGAGGUUCUAACUCUGUCCCGUGAUCCGGGACGAGGACCGUGUCUGGUGGGUAGUUUGACUGGGGCGGUCUCCUCCUAAAGAGUAACGGAGGAGUACGAAGGUGCGCUCAGCGUGGUCGGAAAUCACGCGUAGAGUAUAAAGGCAAAAGCGCGCUUAACUGCGAGACCCACAAGUCGAGCAGGUACGAAAGUAGGUCUUAGUGAUCCGGUGGUUCUGUAUGGAAGGGCCAUCGCUCAACGGAUAAAAGGUACUCUGGGGAUAACAGGCUGAUACCGCCCAAGAGUUCAUAUCGACGGCGGUGUUUGGCACCUCGAUGUCGGCUCAUCUCAUCCUGGGGCUGAAGCAGGUCCCAAGGGUAUGGCUGUUCGCCAUUUAAAGAGGUACGCGAGCUGGGUUUAGAACGUCGUGAGACAGUUCGGUCCCUAUCUACCGUGGGCGCUGGAAAUUUGAGAGGAUCUGCUCCUAGUACGAGAGGACCAGAGUGGACGAACCUCUGGUGUACCGGUUGUGACGCCAGUCGCAUCGCCGGGUAGCUAUGUUCGGAAGGGAUAACCGCUGAAAGCAUCUAAGCGGGAAGCCUACCUCAAGAUAAGAUUUCCCUAGGACUUUAUGUCCUCUAAAGAGCCGUUCGAGACUAGGACGUUGAUAGGUUGGAUGUGGAAGCAUAGUGAUAUGUGAAGCUGACCAAUACUAAUUGCUCGUGAGGCUUGACUAU